ACGUUAGCGGCGGACGGGUGAGUAACACGUGGGUAACCUACCUAUAAGACUGGGAUAACUCCGGGAAACCGGGGCUAAUACCGGAUAACACAUGAAACCGCAUGGUUUCAUGAUGAAAGACGGUUUUGCUGUCACUUAUAGAUGGACCCGCGGCGUAUUAGCUAGUUGGUAAGGUAACGGCUUACCAAGGCAACGAUACGUAGCCGACCUGAGAGGGUGAUCGGCCACACUGGAACUGAGACACGGUCCAGACUCCUACGGGAGGCAGCAGAC
rnacentral:rRNA from 1 species